AUACGUAGGUGGCGAGCGUUGUCCGGAAUUACUGGGCGUAAGGGGCGCGUAGGCGGAUCGUUAAGUUGGACGUGAAAUACCCCGGCUCAACUGGGGGGCGACGUUCAAAACUGGCGGACUAGAGUGCAGGAGAGGAAAGUAGAAUUCCCAGUGUAGCGGUGAAAUGCGUAGAUAUUGGGAGGAAUACCGGUGGCGAAGGCGGCUUUCUGGACUGUAACUGACGCUGAGGCGCGAAAGCUGGGGGAGCGAACAGGAUUAGAUACCCUGGUAGUCCCAGCCGUAAACAAUGAACACUAGGUGUAGGGGGUAUCGACCCCUCCUGUGCCGCAACUAACGCAUUAAGUGUUCCGCCUGGGGAGUACGGCCGCAAGGUUGAAACUCAAAGGAAUUGACGGGG
rnacentral:rRNA from 1 species